rnacentral:lncRNA from 1 species
UUUGCAAACCCAGCCGUGCCAUUUGAUUUCAACCGGUCUCUCCCAUCAGGUUUGCCUCAUUCCCAUAAUUUUAUGCUCUUAAUUUGGAUCAUCUUAAUGUAUGAGGUAUGAUGGAUGAAUUUCAUUAUGUUUUUGCCCACGAGUUUAAUUAUGCAUGAAUGGGUGAAACCUAUGCCUUGAAUGUUUAAGGACAUGAUUUCUGAAAUGUAUGCCACAGGGUUUGAGGUUUCUGAAACCAUAUUGUUAUCGAUGAAAAAAU